GACGAACGCUGGCGGCGUGCUUAACACAUGCAAGUCGAACGGAAAGGCCCUGCUUUUGUGGGGUGCUCGAGUGGCGAACGGGUGAGUAACACGUGAGUAACCUGCCCUUGACUUUGGGAUAACUUCAGGAAACUGGGGCCAAUACCGGAUAGGAGCUCCUGCUGCAUGGUGGGGGUUGGAAAGUUUCGGCGGUUGGGGAUGGACUCGCGGCUUAUCAGCUUGUUGGUGGGGUAGUGGCUUACCAAGGCUUUGACGGGUAGCCGGCCUGAGAGGGUGACCGGCCACAUUGGGACUGAGACACGGCCCAGACUCCUACGGGAUGCAGCAGUGGGGAAUAUUGCACAAUGUGCUGAAGCCUGAUGCAGCAACGCCGCGUGCGGGAUGACGGCCUUCGGGUUGUAAACCGCUUUCGCCUGUGACGAAGCGUGAGUGACGGUAAUGGGUAAAGAAGCACCGGCUAACUACGUG
rnacentral:rRNA from 1 species